UUCUGUUAAAUUGAUUUUGACUAAUGAAAUUAUUUGCUUCUUAUUAACAUCCUUAACUUUUUGCCAGAUAUAUCUUUUUGCCAUUCCUCACCACAAACCCUUUCGGCGGGGGAUACCAAUUCAUCGAGUUUGCUUGUUUUACCUUCAGCCCCAAUAUGGGUAAUAGUUUAUGAAUUUAUUAUCAUUAUUGUGUAAAAAAUGGUUGAAUACAUGUAAUGUUUUGUACUUACACAUGAGUUCCAUUACUAGUGCAAGGCCAUCAAGGACAGUGAUUCAGGAGAAUUCUUUAUGCAUGAUAUAACUUCUUCAACUUGAAUAUAAUGUCUGUAAAUUUUAGUAUUCUGCUUGUAUGUUUGACCUGUAUUAUGGUGUAAAUUAAUGAAUAUCAAGUUCACAAAAUGGUAUUAUUUAAGAUGAAAAGAAACUAGGGUAUCGUAAGCAGUUCAGUUCUAGUGCUUUCAUAAGUGCAUCAGAGAGACAGACAGAAAUAUGAGGCAUAAACUUGAUGUUUGGGCCCUAUGCAAUUUUCUUGGUGCAGCACAGUGCAGCUGUGCCACUGUGUACUAUCUCACUACUUUGAAUGAAAAAAAAUAAUUGUAUUACAUUGAGUGAUAGUUUUGUUAUUGAAUCAUGCAUUGGGGACCAUAUGGGACUUUAAAUGUUAAUCACUUUAGGAGAAUCUUGCUGGAUUUUGAGCAGAUUUAAGCUACAGGAUGGCCAACCCGCAUGACUUGGAUACCAUACACACAGAAAAAAACCAUCUUGAAUCAAGUGACAUUUUGCCGAUAUUUUCCUUAUUAGUUGACGGAUUUUUAUAAAAUUCAGUGUGUCAGCAAAAUAAGUGCUUUCCUCUGCACAAAGCAUCUGCCAUUAGUUCUCAGACAGGUACUGAAAACUGACUGCAGACGUUUUGUGAAGAGGAAAGCACACGUCUUCCAAGUUCUUUUAUCUUAUGAAAAUCCGUCAAGUACCGUAAAAAGGAAAAUAUAGGCAAAAUUCUACCUGAAUAGGGACAUUUUCUCCAUGUGUGGGAUAUCCAAAAGUCUGGUAUGUUGGCCACCCUGAACUGUAUUACAUACAUUUGUAAAGCAUACUUAAUUUUGGUUAAGUAAAGGUGAGAAUAGUUGAAAGCUUGUAUCAUAUUAGCCCAAAAUUCAGCAUAUAUCCACUACACUGUUAAUAUGUAUUUUGCAAAAAUGUGCAAUAUUUAAUAAAACAUUGAAAUAUG
rnacentral:lncRNA from 1 species